AAGAAAGAAGAAGUGAAAGUGGAAGUGGUAGAUGAUCGGGUGUUGCAGAUAAGUGGGGAGAGGAACGUGGAGAAGGAAGACAAGAAUGAUACGUGGCACCGGGUUGAACGGAGCAGCGGCAAGUUCAUGAGGAGGUUCAGGUUGCCUGAGAAUGCCAAGAUGGAUCAGGUUAAGGCUUCCAUGGAGAAUGGGGUGCUUACUGUCACUGUACCCAAGCUGGUAGUUAAAAAGCCUGAUGUUAAGGCUGUUGAGAUUUCUGGCUAAAAAUGUGCAACUUUUGAACCAGUUUGCUCGAAAUUGUAUGUUUGACGCUUGAAAUAGGUGGCUUUUUUGAAUGCAGUGAAUAAAACCAACUUGUUAAUUCAUAAGUUAUCCCUUUUCCAGUUGCACACUCUCUGAAUUAUAAAUUUUCUUAUAAAAAAAUGUUUUUCAUUCUUUAAUAGCUCAAAAUUCUAUUUUUUUCUUAGAAUUCAAAAUUCUAAUCUUAAAUUGAUGGUAAGGUUACCUAAUUAUAAUAGAUUUACUUUCAUUCAACUAUUAAUUUAUAUUUAAUUAUUAACUUUUUAAAUCAAAUAUUCUAAUGAUUCUGACAUAAUUUUUUAUUAUUGUAAAAAUAAAUUUAAAUUUAUUUAUAUAUAUUUUAUUAAUUUAAUCUUAUUUUUAAAAAAUUUUAAAAAAUCAAGUUAAUUUCUCAAUAAAAAUUUUGGAACUUUAUAAAAUUCAGAAAAUAAAAAAUAAAAAAUAAGUCUAGAAAUUACUGAGAGCUAAAAACUGUAUUAGAAAGCUGGCAGACAACUGUGACUUACCGGAAGCACCUAUCCGGAACAUAUUGGAUCAAGCUAAUUUUGUGAUAAUAUACUGCCAUCGGAAAUUUAUAAAUCUACGUGGACAUUUGAAAUUUAAUAUUUAUAUUUAAAAAUUAAUAAUAAUUUGUAUUAAUUUCAUAACAACUUACUUUUCAAAUGGUAUAACCUUUUUAACUUUAUAAAAAAAUUAUUUUAAUUCUUUAUUUAAUUUUUCGUUUUCCUAAUUUUUAAAUUCUUCAUUCUAAAAUGAGUGGAAAAUUUUAAUUUUUUUAACUUCUGCUGAUGUUACAUACACAAGUGUCGCGUGAGUAACACUUUAAUAUUUAAUUAAGUUUUUAAAAUUUAAAAAGUUAUAAAAUUAUUUUUAAAAAUUAAACAUCAUUAAAAAUUAUAAAAAUAUUUUUUUAAUAAUUUUUUAAUUUUAAAAAAUCAAUUAAAUGUUGACAUGUCAUUUAUAUAGCAAUCCACGUGUGUGCCACAUAAGUAAAGUUAACAAGCGUUAAUUUUUUUAUCUAUUUUGGGAUGAUUUGACAAAAAAUAUAAAUUUAAUGACUAAAAGAGACGAGAAAUUAAAUGAAAGGUUAAAAUAAAUUUUUUAUAUAGCUGGAGGGAAAAAAUCAUUAUACCAAAAAAAAAAAAACAACAACAACCAUGAUUGGACUAGAAUUUUUAGAAAAUAAAAUAGAAAAUAUCAUAAUAAAAUUUUAAUAUUUUUAAUAUUUUUAAUAAUUAAUAAUUUAUAUAUUAUUACCAUUUUUAAUAAUUUUUAGAAUUUUUAACAACUAUUUAUAAUUAUUUAACAUUUUUAAGAAUAGAUUAUUUGGUACACUAGCAAUAUAGUUUUAAUAAAUAUAGCAAAUAAUACACUUGUCAACCCCUAGUUUAGAAACUCAACUGAUAAUAUACUAAAUAAUCCCCCUUUUAAUAAAUAUUAAGAAUUUACAUUUAGAAUUUAUCUAAAUUCAUUAUAGAUAUAAAUGAUUUUAUUAAUACAUUUUAGUUUUUUUUUAAAUAUAUGCUGACGUAAUUAUUCACAAGUCAUGCCAUGUGUCAAUUUUGUCUGUCACAUAAAUAUUAUUAAUAAUCAAAUUGGUUAACUAGUGAUAUUUUUAAUGGAAUAACUUAAUUAAAUUUUUUUGUCAUAACAACUCAAUUAUUAUUUUAAGAACUCAAUUGAUUUUUUUUUAAAGAUUAACUAAAAACUUCAGACCUUUUAUUUAAUUAUGGUUUUGAUUUUAAUGCAUCAAGGAGGAAAAUCAUCACAUGGACAAUUAUUAAUUAAUUAUUUUUUUGAAAAGUAUUUUUAAAAGGUGCAUGAAAAAGUGCUUUAAGAUUUAAAAUUGAAGUGUUUAAUAUUACAGUUAAAAAACACUUUCGAAAAAUAAAAUGUUUAUUUUAAAUAUGAUAUAAUAAAUUAGAAAAAAUAAACAUUUAAAUAAUAUUUAAAUUUGUUAUAUUACAAUAUCUCAAUAAAAUAUAAAAAAUAACUUAUUGUAACCAUUAUUCAUAUUUCAAUAUAUGAAAUACAAAUUUGAAUAUUUUUAAGUAAUUAAUAGUAAUUAUUUAUAAAAUUUAAUUUGAAUAUGUAAAUUAUAUUUUAAAUAUUAAAAUGUCAAUACAACUAAACAAGGGUUAAAAUGUCAAUAAUAUUAUCACAAAAUUAAAUCUCAUUCAUAAGCUGAAAGAUGAAGAGGGAAGAGAAAUGGAGUUCAUCCAGGAUAUUGAGGGUGUGGCGAAGUCUUAUUUUCAGAAUUUAUUUUCGGCAAGAAGAAAAGGGAAUUAUGAUCAUAUUCUAUCAGGGAUUGAGCGCUGCAUUCAAGCGGAGGACAAUCGAAAACUUACAGAAUCAUAUUCUAGAGAUGAAAUUAUAGAAGCUGUUUUUGAGAUGGGACUAUCGAAAGCACCAGGGGAGGAUGGAUUUCCAGCAUUAUUUUAUCAGAAGUGUCGGCAGAUUGUUGGAGAUGAUGUCAUAGCUUUUUGUGUACAAAUUCUAAACGGAAAUAUGGAGGUUAGUCCGAUAAACUCUACAAAUAUAGUGCUUAUUCCAAAAGUCAACAACCCAUUAACUAUGAUGCAAUUUAGGCCAAUUAGUUUAUGCAAUGUACUUUAUAAAAUUAUAGCGAAUGUACUAGCAAACAGAUUUCGAAGUGUUAUUGGCAAAUGUAUUGAUGAAGCGCAAAGUGCUUUUGUGCCAGACAGGUUAAUAUCAGAUAAUGUAUUACUCGCUUAUGAAAUAUUGCAUAAGCUAAAGCAGAAGGGAACGGGGAAAAAAGGAUUUAUGGCCGUUAAACCCGAUAUGAGUAAAGUUUAUGACAGGGUUGAAUGGAGUUUUAUAGAGGAGAUUAUGACAAGGAUGGGAUUUGAUUUUAGUUGGGUAAAUGCCAUUAUGAAAUGUGUUUCAUCUGUUGCUUAUUCAGUUGUCAUUAAUGGGCACAAAGGAGAUAAAUUUGUACCAACCAGAAGACUUAGACAAGGCGACCCAUUAAGUCCGUUUUUAUUCCUGAUAUGUGGUGAAGUUUUAUCGAGCUUAUUGAGGUUAACAAUGAAGAGAGAUCGUCUCAAAGGAAUACGGGUGAGUAGGUAUGGUCCGCAGGUAUCUCAUCUUUUAUUUGCUGAUGAUUGCAUACUGUUUGGAGAGGCAACGAGGAGGGGUGCAAACGUCAUAAAGGAUAUUCUGUGUGAAUUCAAAGUUUGCUCGGGACAAUGUGUAAAUUUCGAUAAAUCAACGGUAUUUUUCAGUAAAAACACGUUGGAGGAGGAUAGGAGACAGGUGGUCAAUGUGUUGGGGGUACGUAGGACAAGUGAACCUGAAAGAUAUUUAGGGCUACCCAAUAUGGUGGGGCGAAAGAAAAAAGAAGCUUUUCAGAGUUUAAAUGAUCGAAUAAAAAAACGUAUUGAUAACUGGAGUAACAGGUUUUUAUCACAAGGAGGGAAAGAAAUUUUUAUUAAGGCCAUUCUGCAAGCUAUUCCGACUUAUUCUAUGGCAUGCUUCUUAUUGCUGAGAGCUCUUUGCGAUGAAAUGGAGAGUAUUAUAGCAAGAUUCUGGUGGCAGAAAGGAGGGGGCAAAAGGGGAAUUCAUUGGUGCACUUGGAAAAACCUUUGUUUGCUAAAAGAAAAUGGUGACUUAGGUUUUCGAGAUCUUAGUCAAUUUAAUAUUGCGUUAUUAGCUAAACAAGGUUGGCGUCUCAUUAAUUUUCCAAAUUCUUUAUUAGCCAGAGUUUUGAAAGCUAAAUAUUUCCCAAAGUCAAGUUUCUUAAAUGCAAAGUUGGGGAAUUUACCUUCAUUUACCUGGAAGAGCAUCUGGGCAGCAAGAGGACUUCUCCAAAGAGGAUUGGGUUGGAGAGUUGGUAAAGGUAAUAGCAUUUCUAUCUGGGAAGACAACUGGAUUCAGGGGAUCGAUAAGGUGGAUGAACAUAAUAGAACAAACAGAAGGGAACUACAGUUAGUUUCAAACCUCAUUGAUAAUUCAAGCAGAAAAUGGAAGUCAGACUUAAUUAAUAGUACCUUUCAAGAAGAUACUGCUCGGAAGAUUUUACAAAUUCCCCUGGCAGAGACCGAACAUGAGGAUAUUCAAGUGUGGAGUGGAGAACUAUCUGGUGAGUUUUCAGUACGUAGUGCCUAUAAAUUAUUACAAGAUGCUUCUACAGCCAAUGACUACUUACUACAGACCGAAAUAAAAAAUUUUACAAAAAAUUAUGGAGCCAACAAUUGCCUUCAAAAAUUGCAAUUACAAUUUGGAGGAUUUCAUGGGAUUAUAUCCCUCAUCUUGGUAAUCUCAAUUUGAGGAGGGUCAUUUCAACUGCCUGUUGUCCACGGUGUUAUUCUGGAGUAGAAGAGAGUCUUCAUGUUUUCCGAGAGUGUCCUUUCACAAGAGAAGUGUGGCAAUCAUUAAAUUUAUCAUGGGUCAUGGAGAAUACGAGUCAGAAUACAUGGGAGUGGCUAACCUGGGUUUUCAAGAACAGCAACUAUUACCAAUGUCGGCUUUUCUGCUAUGCGUUAUGGUUGAUAUGGUCCUUUAGAAAUAAACUCAUUCACGAGGGGAAAAAUUCAACAGGAAGGGGAUUAGCUCAGAAUAUUCAAAGACAUAUGGCAGAAUAUGAAGGAAUAAAUGCUGUGAAGAAAACUGAGAAAAUUUUCAGGAGUCACAGAAUACAGGAAAACGUACCGAGAAUAUCGAUCAAAUUUGAUACAGCACUGGACAGUAGAACCUCUAAAUCAACGACUGGAUUAGUAGGUUGGGAUAUGAGGGGAAAUCUACUGGUGUUAAAAACGGUUAUCCACAUAAAUGUCCCCUCACCAUUCGCAGCAGAGGCAUAUGCAUGUUUAGAAGGCAUGAAAUUAGGGAUUGCAUUAGGAUCUCAGUCAGUUAGAAUUAUGGGAGACUCAAAAACCGUCAUAAAGAAGAGCAAGGCGACUUCAACAGACAGAUCGGUAAUAGGUGCCAUUAUAAAAGAUAUUCAGAACAAGAAAUCCUUUUUUCAAGAUCUUACUUUUAAGCACAUCCAUAGAUCAGAAAACACACAUGCACAUGGUCUAGCAAAGAAAGCUCUUGCGAAAGAAGAAAACAUUUACCUGAUAGGAGAAGAACUGGAACGUCAUAUUUCAACCUUGGAUGAAGAUUGGCAAAGAAAUCCGGAUUGAAGAAAUGGGUGAAAGAGCAACAUCCAAUAUAGAUAGCUUAAUGAUGUUUAAAUCUGUGGGGAAGAGCUAUCGACACAACAGAUGGGACCUUGGAAAUGACUCUUCAAUAGCCUUUAUGGUUUCCAGCUGUUCUGAUUAUUGACUGGGAUAGGAUUUUGUUCGGUUGAUUUUAAUUUCAUUUAAUGCUUUUGUUUUUCU
rnacentral:lncRNA from 1 species